CACAGUAGGGAAUAUUGGUCAAUGGAUGCAAGUCUGAACCAGCCAUGCCGCGUGCAGGAAGAAGGCCUUCUGGGUUGUAAACUGCUUUUGCCGGGGGAUAAAAAUUCCAUGCGUGGACAAUUGAAGGUACCCGGUGAAUAAGCCACGGCUAACUACGUGCCAGCAGCCGCGGUAAUACGUAGGUGGCAAGCGUUGUCCGGAUUUAUUGGGUUUAAAGGGUGCGUAGGCGGCCUAUUAAGUCAGUUCUGAAAUAUCCCGGCUUAACCGGGAGGGUGGGAUUGAUACUGAUGGGCUUGAGUGGAGUCGAGGUAGGCGGAAUUGACGGUGUAGCGGUGAAAUGCUUAGAUAUCGUCAAGAACACCGAUAGUGUAGACAGCUUACUAGACUUCAACUGACGGUGAGGCACGAAAGUGUGGGGAUCAAACAGGAUUAGAUACCCUGGUAGUCCACACUGUAAACGUUGAUUACUCGCUGUGUGCGAUAAACAGUACGCG
rnacentral:rRNA from 1 species